rnacentral:rRNA from 1 species
UACGUAGGGAGCAAGCGUUGUCCGGAAUCAUUGGGCGUAAAGAGCUCGUAGGCGGUCUGUCACGUCGGAUGUGAAAACUCGGGGCUCAACCCCGAGCCUGCAUACGAUACGGGCAGGCUUGAGUUCGGCAGGGGAGACUGGAAUUCCUGGUGUAGCGGUGAAAUGCGCAGAUAUCAGGAGGAACACCGGUGGCGAAGGCGGGUCUCUGGGCCGAUACUGACGCUGAGGAGCGAAAGCGUGGGGAGCGAACAGG